GAAAGGAGGACUUGGCAUAUGGAUGAUAACAGGAUUACCUGAGGAAGAAAACCAAAGCAAGGAAAACAAAUAAAGGCUAAAAACUAAUAUGGAAGAAAGUUUCCUUCACCUUAAGAAACCAACAAACCAAAGAAGAUUUGAUUUGAAAAAUCAUACCGUGCACCUGCGAAUUCUGACCACAAACGAACAACAAAGGCUAGUAAAAGUACUACACUGGAAAGGAAAGGAAAAACUGCCAUGGACAUUUUAGCAAAAAGAACAGGUGUUUCUAAAGGAAAUUAGAUCACCCUCAAACUUUUUGACACUAACAGCUUAUGGCAGA